AGACACUUUCGAGCGCUUUAAUUAAUUGUUACCUCAUAAAUUGGAAAGCCUGUUAAAUCUAGUGUAUCAUUUAUGUGCAGACACGAUUUGGUGUGAUCAAUCUUAAUCCUUAUCGCCGCCACCCUGGCCGACAGCAAGCCACUAAUCAAGCAACCAACUACUAUUUUUGAUAGACUCUUGAAACUGUUACCUAAGAAUAAAGUCUAAAUAAUUUGACCGGGGUGGCUGCAUGUACAGAAUACACUAUAAA
rnacentral:sRNA from 1 species